rnacentral:rRNA from 1 species
UGGGGAAUUUUGGACAAUGGGGGCAACCCUGAUCCAGCCAUGCCGCGUGCGGGAAGAAGGCCUUCGGGUUGUAAACCGCUUUUGGCCGGGAAGAAAAGGCGCAGGUGAAUAGCUUGCGUUCUUGACGGUACCGGCAGAAUAAGCACCGGCUAACUACGUGCCAGCAGCCGCGGUAAUACGUAGGGUGCGAGCGUUAAUCGGAAUUACUGGGCGUAAAGCGUGCGCAGGCGGUUCGUUAAGUUCGUUGUGAAAGCCCCGGGCUCAACCUGGGAAUGGCAAUGGAAACUGGCGGGCUGGAGUGUGGCAGAGGGGGGUGGAAUUCCACGUGUAGCAGUGAAAUGCGUAGAGAUGUGGAGGAACACCGAUGGCGAAGGCAGCCCCCUGGGCCAACACUGACGCUCAGGCACGAAAGCGUGGGGAGCAAACAGGAUUAGAUACCCUGGUAGUCCACGCCCUAAACGAUGAUCACUGGGUGUUGGGGAAGCGAUUCCUUGGUACCGUAGCUAACGCGUGAAGUGAUCCGCCUGGGGAGUACGGCCGCAAGGUUAA